rnacentral:tRNA from 7 species
GUCCAUCUAGCAUAGCUGGUUGAGUCUAAGGCUUUGAACCCUGAGGUCAUGGGUUCAAGUCCCACAGUUUGCA